rnacentral:rRNA from 1 species
GACGAACGCUGGCGGCGUGCCUAACACAUGCAAGUCGAGCGAAUGAAGUUCCUUCGGGAACGGAUUUAGCGGCGGACGGGUGAGUAACACGUGGGCAACCUACCUCAUAGAGGGGAAUAGCCUUCCGAAAGGGAGAUUAAUACCGCAUAAGAUUGUAGUACCGCAUGGUACAGCAAUUAAAGGAGCAAUCCGCUAUGAGAUGGGCCCGCGGCGCAUUAGCUAGUUGGUGAGGUAACGGCUCACCAAGGCGACGAUGCGUAGCCGACCUGAGAGGGUGAUCGGCCGCAUUGGGACUGAGACACGGCCCAGACUCCUACGGGAGGCAGCAGUGGGGAAUAUUGCACAAUGGGGGAAACCCUGAUGCAGCAACGCCGCGUGAGUGAUGACGGCCUUCGGGUUGUAAAGCUCUGUCUUCAGGGACGAUAAUGACGGUACCUGAGGAGGAAGCCACGGCUAACUACGUGCCAGCCGCCGCAGUAA